rnacentral:lncRNA from 1 species
GCCUCUGCUGAUCUCAGCACCUGGACUCCAGAAAGAUGAUGGAAGGGAUGAAAGGGCCGCUGACCAAUCAGAGGAGGACAUUUCCGGUAUCUCAUUCCAGUCCAAGUACAUGUAUAUCUUCCCUCUGUAUCAGGACUACUGUCUGCUGGAGGUGAAAGAUCUGCUCAGACUCAAAGACAGCUUUGUGUCCAAGCUGAGUCCCCAGUACCUACACCACCUGCAGUCUCGCCUUAACCCUGCUCCCAACUCUGAGCCCA